GUCGAUUUGGAGGUUGUGCCCUUGAGGCGUGGCUUCCGGAGCUAACGCGUUAAAUCGACCGCCUGGGGAGUACGGCCGCAAGGUUAAAACUCAAAUGAAUUGACGGGGGCCCGCACAAGCGGUGGAGCAUGUGGUUUAAUUCGAUGCAACGCGAAGAACCUUACCUACUCUUGACAUCCAGAGAAUUCGCUAGAGAUAGCUUAGUGCCUUCGGGAACUCUGAGACAGGUGCUGCAUGGCUGUCGUCAGCUCGUGUUGUGAAAUGUUGGGUUAAGUCCCGCAACGAGCGCAACCCUUAUCCUUUGUUGCCAGCGAUUCGGUCGGGAACUCAAAGGAGACUGCCGGUGAUAAACCGGAGGAAGGUGGGGAUGACGUCAAGUCAUCAUGGCCCUUACGAGUAGGGCUACACACGUGCUACAAUGGCGUAUACAAAGAGAAGCGAACUCGCGAGAGCAAGCGGACCUCAUAAAGUACGUCGUAGUCCGGAUUGGAGUCUGCAACUCGACUCCAUGAAGUCGGAAUCGCUAGUAAUCGUAGAUCAGAAUGCUACGGUGAAUACGUUCCCGGGCCUUGCACUCACCGCCCGUCA
rnacentral:rRNA from 1 species